CGUCUAUAUACGUAUAGCAUAUCAAUAAGCGGAGGAAAAGAAACUAACUAGGAUUCCCUCAGUAACGGCGAGUGAAGCGGGAAGAGCUCAAAUUUGAAAUCUUCAAGGUUUUACCUUGACGAAUUGUAGUUUAAAGAAGUGUUUUCUGUUGGAGUUUUGGUAAAAGUUCUUUGGAAAUAGGACAUCAUAGAGGGUGAGAAUCCCGUAUUUGACCAUUAUUUCCAACUUUGUGAUACACUUUCAAAGAGUCGGAUUGUUUGGGAAUGCAGUCCAAAAUGGGUGGUAAAUUUCAUCUAAAGCUAAAUACUGGCGAGAGACCGAUAGCGAACAAGUACCGUGAGGGAAAGAUGAAAAGAACUUUGAAAAGAGAGUUAAACAGUACGUGAAAUUGUCAAAAGGGAAGCGUUUGACACCAGUGUUGUUUUCUCGAAAAUCAAUUAAAAAUGGAGUGGAUUUUGUGUUGUAUUGACUUUAUCAGCUUUCUGCACUUCUUUUCUUGUCUUUUUUAAUGCACUUUUCGUUUAACAAGUCAACAUCAAUUUCUUUUGUUGUAAAAGGGUCAUUGGAAGGUGGCUUUCAUUUCGGAUGAAAGUGUUUAUAGCCUUUGACUUCUGCAAUCGGAGAGAUUGAGGUCUGCAGCGUAGAUCCUUCGGGGUUAGAUACAUUUGUGCUAAGUUAUAGCCUUUUCAUAGACAACAUUGUUGACCUAUGAUCAUCAUGUAGCUUACUCGCUUAUGCUAUUUUACCUACGCUUAGGAUGUUGACGAUCAGCUGAGCGCG
rnacentral:rRNA from 1 species